rnacentral:rRNA from 1 species
GACGAACGCUGGCGGCGUGCUUAACACAUGCAAGUCGUACGGUAAGGCCCUUUCGGGGGUACACGAGUGGCGAACGGGUGAGUAACACGUGAGUAACCUGCCCACAACUUUGGGAUAACGCUAGGAAACUGGUGCUAAUACUGGAUAUGUGCUCCUGCUGCAUGGUGGGGGUUGGAAAGCUCCGGCGGUUGUGGAUGGACUCGCGGCCUAUCAGCUUGUUGGUGGGGUAGUGGCCUACCAAGGCGGCGACGGGUAGCCGGCCUGAGAGGGUGACCGGCCACAUUGGGACUGAGAUACGGCCCAGACUCCUACGGGAGGCAGCAGUGGGGAAUAUUGCACAAUGGGCGCAAGCCUGAUGCAGAAACGCCGCGUGCGGGAUGACGGCCUUCGGGUUGUAAAACGCUUUCAGCAGGGACGAAGCUUUUUGUGACGGUACCUGCAGAAGAAGCACCGGCUAACUACGUG